GGUUCGGUGGCUGAGUGGUCGAAAGCGCUUCUUUGCUAAAGAAGUGAACCCGUGAGGGUUCCGUGGGUUCGAAUCCCACCCGGACCGCCA
rnacentral:tRNA from 1 species